GGAUUGAUGAUGACUUCAAAAAUGGAUUCAUUGAAAUCUGAACAAAAUGAGUGACAAAAUCACUUACGUGAACUGAAGUCC
rnacentral:snoRNA from 1 species